rnacentral:rRNA from 1 species
UACGUAGGGUGCGAGCGUUAAUCGGAAUUACUGGGCGUAAAGCGUGCGCAGGCGGUUAUUUAAGUCAGGUGUGAAAGCCCUGGGCUUAACCUAGGAAUUGCGCUUGAGACUGGAUAGCUUGGAGUGCGGCAGAGGGAGGUGGAAUUCCACGUGUAGCAGUGAAAUGCGUAGAGAUUUGGAGGAACACCAGUGGCGAAGGCGACUUUCUGGUCUGUAACUGACGCUGAGGCGCGAAAGCGUGGGGAGCAAACAGG